rnacentral:rRNA from 1 species
UACGUAGGGUGCAAGCGUUGUCCGGAAUUAUUGGGCGUAAAGAGCUUGUAGGCGGUUUGUCGCGUCUGCUGUGAAAAUCCGGGGCUCAACCCCGGACUUGCAGUGGGUACGGGCAGGCUAGAGUGUGGUAGGGGAGACUGGAAUUCCUGGUGUAGCGGUGGAAUGCGCAGAUAUCAGGAGGAACACCGAUGGCGAAGGCAGGUCUCUGGGCCAUUACUGACGCUGAGGAGCGAAAGCGUGGGGAGCGAACAGG